rnacentral:rRNA from 1 species
GACGAACGCUGGCGGCGUGCUUAACACAUGCAAGUCGAACGGAAAGGCCCUGCUUUUGUGGGGUGCUCGAGUGGCGAACGGGUGAGUAACACGUGAGUAACCUGCCCUUGACUUUGGGAUAACUUCAGGAAACUGGGGCUAAUACCGGAUAGGAGCUCCUGCUGCAUGGUGGGGGUUGGAAAGUUUCGGCGGUUGGGGAUGGACGCGCGGCUUAUCAGCUUGUUGGUGGGGUAGUGGCUUACCAAGGCUUUGACGGGUAGCCGGCCUGAGAGGGUGACCGGCCACAUUGGGACUGAGAUACGGCCCAGACUCCUACGGGAGGCAGCAGUGGGGAAUAUUGCACAAUGGGCGGAAGCCUGAUGAAGCAACGCCGCGUGCGGGAUGACGGCCUUCGGGUUGUAAACCGCUUUCGCCUGUGACGAAGCGUGAGUGACGGUAAUGGGUAAAGAAGCACCGGCUAACUACGUG